rnacentral:rRNA from 1 species
CCUACNGGACGCACCAGUGGGGAAUAUUGCACAAUGGGCGCAAGCCUGAUGCAGCCAUGCCGCGUGUGUGAAGAAGGCCUUCGGGUUGUAAAGCACUUUCAGCGGGGANGAAGGCGUUAANNUUANUAACCUUGGCGAUUGACGUUACCCGCAGAAGAAGCACCGGCUAACUCCGUGCCAGCAGCCGCGGUAAUACGGAGGGUGCAAGCGUUAAUCGGAAUUACUGGGCGUAAAGCGCACGCAGGCGGUCUGUCAAGUCGGAUGUGAAAUCCCCGGGCUCAACCUGGGAACUGCAUUCGAAACUGGCAGGCUAGAGUCUUGUAGAGGGGGUAGAAUUCCAGGUGUAGCGGUGAGAUGCGUAGAGAUCUGGAGGAAUACCGGUGGCGAAGGCGGCCCCCUGGACAAAGACUGACGCUCAGGUGCGAAAGCGGGGGAAGCAAACAGGAUUAGAUACCCGCGUAGUC